rnacentral:rRNA from 1 species
CCUACGGGAGGCAGCAGUGAGGAAUAUUGGGCAAUGGGCGCAAGCCUGACCCAGCCAUGCCGCGUGAAGGAUGAAUGCCCUAUGGGUUGUAAACUUCUUUUGUACGGGACAAAACUCUUGGUCGUGACCGAGAUUGAUGGUACCGUUCGAAUAAGCAUCGGCUAACUCCGUGCCAGCAGCCGCGGUAAU